rnacentral:lncRNA from 1 species
CAUAGAUUGACACCUGGGUUUUCUCAUCUACCUUUCCCUGUUCAAACCCAGUUCCUCUUUAUCAGAAUGAACAAGAAAUCCAUGAAAAACGAAUGCAUUAAACAUCAUUCAGGGAUAAAACUUUAAUGACAUACAUAAUAUGUUCUAGGUAUUACCCAUUUCAGACUUUUUCCAGUUUAUUUUGAAUCUAAAAUUAACUCUCCUUUUCCUGUACACAGAAAGAAGGAGAAAACUGAAGCAGUAAUUCAGAAGACUAAAGCAAAAUAAGGUACUGUCCCUAAAAUAAAAAAUAGGAAUAACUCUUAAAUAUUAGGAUUUUGGUCUGUUUGUUCUUUAACCUACUGGGUUAUCUCCCUCAGUUUCCCACUCUUUUGCAAACAAUAUCUAAC